UGCAGCUCUGAAGCCAGAAAAAAACCUGAGUUCCACUUGGAGAGGCUGAUCCACAGGGACAGAUGCAAUAGGAAGGUGUUCAUGGUCUGCAUCCUGGGAUUCUGAAUAUGGCAUUGUUUCACAAUGGAACAACAAAACAGAAGCACACAGACAGAAGAAUGGCUGAGGUUGGAAAGACCACUGGAGAACAUCUAGUCCGAUCCCAUUGCUCAAGCAGAGUCACUUAGAGCAACUUGCAUAGGAUUACAUCCAGAACAGGACCCUGCACUUGCCUCUGUUGAACUUCAUGAAGUUCCUCUCCACACUGCUCUCCAGCCUGUCCAGAGCUUGCUGAAUGACAGCACAGACUUCUGGUGUGUCAGUUGCUCUUCCCAAUUUUCUAUCAUCAGCAAAUUUGCUGAGUGUACUGUCCCUUCAUUCAAGUCGUUGAUGAAUAAGUUGAAAAAAAUUUAUUUCUUGAUUCCAUCCUCAGUGUUAUUUCUGUAAUUAUUUUGUCUAAUCUUUUGUCUAAUACACACUACUUCUAGUAAACAGUAUUUUUUUGCACAAUAAUUAUGACUUACAUAUCUGUUUUCACUUUCAUACAAGUCAAUAUUUAGGCCAGCCCAGCUUCCAUUCCUUUUUUAAUCCUCUAGUAAAAUGUUUUUAAACACUUUCCAGUUAUUAUCCACAUUUCCUGUCUAAUUUCUUUCUCCCAAAUGACUUAGCACAUAAUUGUUUUCAGCUUUGUAAAAUUGGCUUUUCCAAUUCAUCAAGAAUACAUAUUGCUGGCCUGGACUUAAUUCUGAGUAUGUAGAACAAAUAGAGGAAAAUCAUGGUCACUUUUAUCUAACCUACUGCUGAUUUUGUUUUUGGUCUACUUUUAUGAUAUAUAUUUUUUAUCUGUAUGGAUAAAAUAAUGCGUUGUAGCAUUCCAGAAUUGUUGGAUGCAGCACUUUUUAAGGAGUUCAUCAUUUAUGGCAUAUUCCAAGGAUAUGUUAAUUUAGUGGCAUGAAAACUCCAAACUAUGCUAUUUGGAGUGAAGUGCUGACACUACAUGGUUUAUUUUUCUUCUUGUUUUAUAUCUCCUUACUUAAAGAGACAGUUUUCCUGUUCUUUUAGUAAUUACUUACAGAAAGGAAAAGUAGUGCUAUGACUAAUCAAACAUAACUUCUUGUACCUCCUUUGUAAUAUAACAAUCUACAGAUUAAGAAACUGUAUCUUAAAAACUAUUACUUAUCUACCUUUUAUUUCUUUUGCCCAAUUUUGAUGGCACAACUGAAUUAAAAAAGCUCAGAAUUGGCUUGCAACAGAAUCCUUCCAAAGAGGGAUUGAUUAGAAGAGGAAUAUGUUUAAAAGCUCAACCCCAACUGGUAUUUUAAGAGGGACAUAGAAAGUACAGAAAAAUCUUGUGCUAGCUUUUUAUACUUUCUUGAUGCCUUCCUCGAUAGGUUGCCAGAUGGUGAAGUGGAUUAGAGUCAGGCUUCAGUACACCAUGUACCCCAGAAGCAGGAAACUGGCUCUUGAGUGGGAGUUACUGCUAAUUUCAGUGAUUUGGGAUCUGGCUCUGUAUUGUAGUUGUGUACGAAGUUAGAAAUAACAGACAACUCCAUGCUCUAAGCUAGGGAAGAUGAUCUCAUUUUGAGUAUAUUAUUCUGUGAGUGUAUUCUUCUGUGUGCUGGUUACUGCUAGGGAUUUUUAAAAACACUUUGCAUCUACCUUAUUUAUGAUUC